UGGGGAAUUUUGCACAAUGGGGGAAACCCUGAUGCAGCGACGCCGCGUGAUUUAGAAGGCCUUCGGGUUGUAAAAAUCUUUUCUAUGGGAAGAAAAUGACAGUACCAUAGGAAUAAGGACCGGCUAAUUACGUGCCAGCAGCCGCGGUAAUACGUAAGGUCCGAGCGUUGUCCGGAAUCAUUGGGCGUAAAGGGUACGUAGGCGGGUAAGCAAGUUAGAAGUGAAAUCCUAUAGCUCAACUAUAGUAAGCUUUUAAAACUGCUCAUCUUGAGGUAUGGAAGGGAAAGUGGAAUUCCUAGUGUAGCGGUGAAAUGCGCAGAUAUUAGGAGGAAUACCGGUGGCGAAGGCGACUUUCUGGCCAUAGCCUGACGCUGAUGUACGAAAGCGUGGGUAGCAAACAGG
rnacentral:rRNA from 1 species